UACGUAGGGGGCAAGCGUUGUCCGGAUUUAUUGGGCGUAAAGAGCGUGUAGGCGGCCAGGUAGGUCCGUUGUGAAAACUCGAGGCUCAACCUCGAGACGCCGAUGGAAACCAUCUGGCUAGAGUCCGGAAGAGGAGAGUGGAAUUCCCGGUGUAGCGGUGAAAUGCGCAGAUAUCAGGAAGAACACCCGUGGCUAAGGCGGCUCUCUAGUACGGUACUGACGCUGAGACGCGAAAGCGUGGGGAGCGAACAGG
rnacentral:rRNA from 1 species